AAAUCUAGUUAAGCGUUGACUGCUUUCUUUACAGGGUGAUUGUUUGAUUUAAAACGGAGUACAGCAAUCGAAUGAAACGUCCUCGAGCGACUGACACGACACAUCUCCCCGCUGGAAGAUGACUCUACACAAAUCCAACAACGUGAUUGAGAACAUCUAAGGACGAGAGCUCUACUGUACCACGACGGACGAGAGGAGAGGAGGGAUGCUGCUCCUCGCCAACAGCUGAAAUGAUUUAAAGAUGUGCAGAUUCCUGAAGCUGUGUGGAAACACGGCAGACGGGACAGUGUGAGAUGAGUACAUGCAUGUGGAAGCUCUCCCAACAGUGACACACGUUAGUCAAACACAACCUACAUUUAUUGCGAUAGUGUUACCUCUCGGGGUGCUGGACACCGGGGUCUG